rnacentral:rRNA from 1 species
UGGAGAGUUUGAUCCUGGCUCAGAUUGAACGCUGGCGGCAUGCCUUACACAUGCAAGUCGAACGGCAGCACGGGUGCUUGCACCUGGUGGCGAGUGGCGAACGGGUGAGUAAUACAUCGGAACAUGUCCUGUAGUGGGGGAUAGCCCGGCGAAAGCCGGAUUAAUACCGCAUACGAUCUAKGGAUGAAAGCGGGGGACCUUCGGGCCUCGCGCUAUAGGGUUGGCCGAUGGCUGAUUAGCUAGUUGGUGGGGUAAAGGCCUACCAAGGCGACGAUCAGUAGCUGGUCUGAGAGGACGACCAGCCACACUGGGACUGAGACACGGCCCAGACUCCUACGGGAGGCAGCAGUGGGGAAUUUUGGACAAUGGGCGAAAGCCUGAUCCAGCAAUGCCGCGUGUGUGAAGAAGGCCUUCGGGUUGUAAAGCACUUUUGUCCGGAAAGAAAUCCUUGGUUCUAAUAUAGCCGGGGGAUGACGGUACCGGAAGAAUAAGCACCGGCUAACUACGUGCCAGCAGCCGCGGUA